UGGGGAAUAUUGCACAAUGGAGGGAACUCUGAUGCAGCGACGCCGCGUGAGUGAUGAAGGAAUUCGUUUCGUAAAACUCUGUUCUAUGGGAAGAAAAGGACUGUACCAUAGGAGAAAGCUCCGGCUAAAUACGUGCCAGCAGCCGCGGUAAUACGUAUGGAGCGAGCGUUGUCCGGAAUUAUUGGGCGUAAAGGGUGCGCAGGCGGCUUUACAAGUUGGAUGUGAAAUAUUGUGGCUCAACCACAAACGUGCAUCCAAAACUGCAAAGCUUGAGUUAAGGAGAGGUAAGUGGAAUUCCUGGUGUAGCGGUGGAAUGCGUAGAUAUCAGGAGGAAUACCAGUGGCGAAGGCGACUUACUGGACUUAAACUGACGCUCAGGCACGAAAGCGUGGGGAGCAAACAGG
rnacentral:rRNA from 1 species